rnacentral:misc_RNA from 1 species
CGCACAUUGCGCCCGCCAGUAUUCUGGCGGGCAUGCCUGUCCGAGCGUCAUUUCAACCCUCGAGCCCCCCCGGGGGCCCGGCGUUGGGGAUCGGCACUUAACCUGCCGGCCCCGAAAUACAGUGGCGGUCCCGCCGCAGCCUCCCCUGCGCAGUAGUUUGCACAACUCGCACCGGGAGCGCGGCGCGUCCACGGCCGUAAAACACCCCAAACUUCUGAAAUUGUUGGCCUCGGAUCAGGUAGGAAUACCCGCUGAACUUGA